AAGUCGUAACAAGGUAACCGUAGGUGAACCUGCGGUUGGAUCAUUAACAAAUGCAAAGCCUAUAGUGUGUCUCGGCACGCCAUAGUGUUUUCUACACCUGUGCACUGUCUGCGGUAGGCACUAGCCUGUCGCUGUUAAACUCUCUAUCUAUUUGACCAUUCAGUUUUAAAUAAUAAUAAAACUACAACUUUUGGCAACGGAUCUCUAGGCUCUU
rnacentral:misc_RNA from 1 species